CUACAACCUCUGUAUUCCUCAGGGACUUCACUUAAGAGCUGUGCUUCUCUGAGAACAUCAGGCUGAGGAAACAAUGCUCUGUCAUGACCAAGCAGACAAGGAAUGAUGCUGCUACACAGAAAUUAUUACCAUUGCUGAAGAGGAGCAGAAUCUGUCUUGAUAUAAAAACUUCCCAAUUCCUAAGGAAAUAAGCUGCAUAUAUCGGUAAGACUAACACGGCUAUCCCGCUGAUACUUGACAGCAUAUUCUGCAGAUCACUAAGAACAUAGUUGAAAUAUCUUUCUCAUGACAAUGCUUGGAAAGAGAAGAGAUUAUGGCAUAAAAUGUGAGUGCAGAAUUCGGGAAGGCAUCUUUUCCAGAAGCAGGCCCUUUUGAUUGGAUACAGCUUGACUCUCAUCUAUGUUCCAAUGAAAACAAGAAUAAUUUGUGUGCAGCCUUAAAAGGCAAAC